UACGUAGGGGGCAAGCGUUGUUCGGAAUUACUGGGCGUAAAGGGCGCGUAGGCGGCACGGCAAGUCAGGAGUGAAAGGCCUGGGCUCAACCGAGGAACUGCUUUUGAGACUGCCGAGCUAGAGUGCGGAAGGGGCAACUGGAAUUCCCAGUGUAGCGGUGAAAUGCGUAGAUAUCAGGAGGAACACCGAUGGCGAAGGCAGGUCUCUGGGCAUUAACUGACGCUGAGGAGCGAAAGCAUGGGGAGCGAACAGG
rnacentral:rRNA from 1 species